rfam:Triticum aestivum genome assembly, contig: Triticum_aestivum_CS42_TGACv1_scaffold_002494_1AL
GAUGUACUACCUCCGUUCCAAAAUUCUUGUCUUAGAUUCAUCUAGAUAUGGAUGUAUCUAAUACUAAAACGUGACUUGAUACAUUCGUAUUUAGACAAAUAUAAGACAAGAAUUUUUGGACGGAGGGAGUAUACU